rnacentral:rRNA from 1 species
UACAUGGGGUGCAAACGUUGCUCGGAAUUAUUGGGCGUAAAGCGCGCGUAGGCGGUUACUUAAGUCGGAUGUGAAAGCCCUCGGCUUAACUGAGGAAGUGCACCCGAAACUGAGUAGCUAGAGUACGAAAGAGGGUCGCGGAAUUCCCGGUGUAGAGGUGAAAUUCGUAGAUAUCGGGAGGAACACCAGUGGCGAAGGCGGAGACCUGGGCCGAUACUGACGCUGAGGUGCGAAAGCGUGGGGAGCAAACAGG